rnacentral:lncRNA from 1 species
CUUGGUGCAAAAGAGCCCCGACCUUUUCAACGGCCACUGCUGGUGAUGCAAAUACAGCAACAGGCAGGUCUGCAAGAGUGGGGGCCUCAGGUCAGAAACCCGAGUCCGCGUCCAUCAGGAGGGAGACACACACGGGCAGACUUGGGUGAAGGUCUCUAAUUAUAACUUUUAAGGGGCACCAUCCACAAAACCCCUCUUUGAAUAUAAACAAACUGAGACCCAGAGAGAUGAAAGGAUUUGGCCUGAGUUACCUCUGAGUUGAGGACCAGAACUAUUUAAAUAUCUAAUAAGAAGAUGUACCGUGCAUGUGUACAUACUCUUAAGAUCUAUUUUAUGCUCACUACAUGAAGAAACUGAGGCGCACAGAAGUUAAGUAACUUGUCUAAUAUUACUUGGCUAGUACGUGGCCUGGGUGGAAUUCAAAUCCAGGCUGCUAGCUGCACAGCUCCUGCUUUUUAACUGCUACCCUCAGCCUGUGUAGUAGAAUUCAGGACUCACGGCUCACCACCAUGCUGCCUUCUUUACCGGGGACCCAGGCUACUUUGUACGGUUGAGUAGGUUGUGCACUGCACAAAGGUAUUCAGUUGAGGGGCCAAGUGAGAAUGGAAAGCCAACUUACACACAAAUCACUGAGCUGAAUGCCCUAGCAGGUGGAGGGGGAAAUCCCUUUGCUUGGAGGAAGGGACACCCUGUUCUAAUUCAAAUAAAGGUGUUGUGUGGGCUAGCGGCAGCCCUACAGGUUCCCGAGAUAUAAAGCAGACUGGUUAACUAUUCACGUACUUGGAUUUAAGUCACUUUGUCCAGGGCUAGUAAAAAGGAGGGACAUCUACUCCCUGUCCUGGUGUCCCUGGCAAGAACUUCCCACUGCCCCAACCCAAGCUCACAAAUACACUUAAAACCCAAAGCAUCGUCACCUUCCUAAAAUGUUUGGCGGCAGAGCAGAAGAAUGGUGAUGGAUGGCACGGCCCACCGUGAGCCCUCUGGGACUGGCUGGGAGAUGGGUGUCAGGGGAAAUGCAACAGGAGCGGUGGAAAGGAAUGUGUGUGUGGACCCGACAGCACCUUCCCCGUCUCCUGUGGAAGGGCUCUGAAUGUCUGUUGCCUUAAAAAGUGGUAACGGAGAGAAAGAGCAAGCUCAGGGUUUGAUGGAAAAUGAGGGCGGGAGGCCAGAGGACCGAGGCCAGGCAGGUGGGCAGAGCAAAGCUCUGCGUUUGGAAGCGAGACAGCCGCUCAGGGCCGCGCUGAGCAUGAAGAAGCAGGACGGCGCGUCCGUGUUGAAGCAGAAGCACAAAUGGAAGCCCGCUGGAGGGGAAGCCGGGAGCUGGUCACGCAGUGCCAGGUGGAUGCAGGAAGGCACGGCCCAAUCAGCUGUCACUCAGCUUGGCUGCCCACAGUGGGGUCUGACUUUACCGUGUGCAUCGCAUCCACUUAGACUUUAAAGAGCCAGCCUGCUGCCCCCAUCUCUCCGGCGCUCCCUUCGGAAAU